GACGUAGGGGGCGAGCAUUGUCCGGAUUUAUUGGGCGUAAAGCGUGCGUAGGCGGCUGCGCAAGUCGGGUGUGAAACCCCGGGGCUCAACCCCGGAACUGCAUCCGAUACUGCGUGGCUAGAGGUAGGUAGGGGAGAUCGGAAUUCCUGGUGUAGCGGUGAAAUGCGCAGAUAUCAGGAGGAACACCGGUGGCGAAGGCGGAUCUCUGGGCCUUACCUGACGCUCAGGCACGAAAGCUAGGGGAGCGAACAGG
rnacentral:rRNA from 1 species